UUCCGGUUGAUCCUGCCGGAGGCCAUUGCUAUCGGAGUUCGAUUUAGCCAUGCUAGUCGCACGAGUUCAUACUCGUGGCAGAUAGCUCAGUGACACGUGGCCAAACUACCCUAUGGACUCGGAUAACCUCGGGAAACUGAGGCCAAUCCGCGAUACCGCUUCCCUCCUGGAAUGGGAGAAGCACCAAACGCUACGGCGCCAUAGGAUGUGGCUGCGGCCGAUUAGGUAGACGGUGGGGUAACGGCCCACCGUGCCCAUAAUCGGUACGGGUUGUGAGAGCAAGAGCCCGGAGACGGUAUCUGAGACAAGAUACCGGGCCCUACGGGGCGCAGCAGGCGCGAAAACUUUACACUGCACGACAGUGCGAUAAGGGAACUCCGAGUGCGAGGGCAUAUCGUCCUCGCUUUUCUGUACCGUAGGGAGGUACAGGAAUAAGAGCUGGGCAAGACCGGUGCCAGCCGCCGCGGUAACACCGGCAGCUCGAGUGAUGGCCGAUAUUAUUGGGCCUAAAGCGUCCGUAGCCAGCUGAACAGGUCCGUUGGGAAAUCUGCUCGCUCAACGAGCAGGCGUCCGGCGGAAACCAGUCAGCUUGGGACCGAGAGGACCGAAGGGUACGUCUGGGGUAGGAGUGAAAUCCCGUAAUCCUGGACGGACCACCGAUGGCGAAAGCACUUCGGUAGAUCGGAUCCGACGGUGAGGGGCGAAAGCUAGGGUCACGAACCGGAUUAGAUACCCGGGUAGUCCUAGCCGUAAACGAUGCUCGUUAGGUGUGACGCAAACUACGAGUUUGUGUCGUGCCGUAGUGAAGACGAUAAACGAGCCGCCUGGGAAGUACGUCCGCAAGGAUGAAACUUAAAGGAAUUGGCGGGGGAGCACUACAACCGGAGGAGCCUGCGGUUUAAUUGGACUCAACGCCGGU
rnacentral:rRNA from 1 species